rnacentral:rRNA from 1 species
UAACGAAUCUUCCGCAAUGGGCGCAAGCCUGACGGAGCAAUGCCGCGUGUAGGAUGAAGCGUCUCUGACGUGUAAACUACUGUCAGGGGUUGGAAACAAUGAUCGACCCCAAAGGAAGUGGCGACUAACUCUGUGCCAGCAGUCGCGGUAAUACAGAGGCCACAAGCGUUAGUCGGAAUCACUGGGCUUAAAGGGUGCGUAGGCGGGUCUGCAAGCGUCUUGUGAAAUACCUCAGCUCAACUGAGGAACA